ACUCCAAGCAAACCCAAAAACCAGCAGUCAGCGCCAGAGCUUUCCUAUCAUCUGCCUGUUACAGUAAUAUGGAUUUCCCAUGACCUUUCUGAAGAUCCCUCACAUUGCACAUAAGGAACACAGGAGAAGAGGAGAAAGUGUGUGGGUGUGUGUGUUGCACAUACCGUGGUGGGUUCACAGCAGAGCUAAAUUCCUAUCUUCCACGGUGAGAAGCCAAUAGAUAGUGUCUACAUUUGAGGAAUCACGAAGUAGCAAUAUAAGCAUAUUACUGAAAGAUGUGAAGAUGUGUAUGCACAUUUCUUAACUUCGUGUAUUAAAAUGAAGUCUGUUUGCCUGGGUCCUGAGUGACUACAAUGAGCAGAGACCACCUGCCUACCAACGAGAGCAUUAAGGAAGAAAUAAAUGCCUGCCUGUUCAACCAUUGAGACUGGGGAGUUUUUGUUAC